GAUGAACGCUGGCGGCGUGCCUAAUACAUGCAAGUCGAGCGAACGGACGAGAAGCUUGCUUCUCUGAUGUUAGCGGCGGACGGGUGAGUAACACGUGGGUAACCUACCUAUAAGACUGGGAUAACUUCGGGAAACCGGAGCUAAUACCGGAUAAUAUUUUGAACCGCAUGGUUCAAAAGUGAAAGACGGUCUUGCUGUCACUUAUAGAUGGAUCCGCGCUGCAUUAGCUAGUUGGUAAGGUAACGGCUUACCAAGGCAACGAUGCAUAGCCGACCUGAGAGGGUGAUCGGCCACACUGGAACUGAGACACGGUCCAGACUCCUACGGGAGGCAGCAGUAGGGAAUCUUCCGCAAAGGGCGAAAGCCUGACGGAGCAACGCCGCGUGAGUGAUGAAGGUCUUCGGAUCGUAAAACUCUGUUAUUAGGGAAGAACAUAUGUGUAAGUAACUGUGCACAUCUUGACGGUACCUAAUCAGAAAGCCACGGCUAACUACGUG
rnacentral:rRNA from 1 species